rnacentral:rRNA from 1 species
GACGAACGCUGGCGGCGUGCCUAAUACAUGCAAGUCGAGCGAAGUUUUUCUGGUGCUUGCACUAGAAAAACUUAGCGGCGAACGGGUGAGUAACACGUAAAGAACCUGCCUCAUAGACUGGGACAACUAUUGGAAACGAUAGCUAAUACCGGAUAACAGUAUUUCUCGCAUGAGAGAUAUUUAAAAGUUGGUUAUGCUAACACUAUGGGAUGGCUUUGCGGUGCAUUAGCUAGUUGGUGGGGUAAAGGCCCACCAAGGCGACGAUGCAUAGCCGACCUGAGAGGGUGAUCGGCCACACUGGGACUGAGACACGGCCCAGACUCCUACGGGAGGCAGCAGUAGGGAAUCUUCCGCAAUGGGCGAAAGCCUGACGGAGCAACGCCGCGUGAGUGAAGAAGGAUUUCGGUUCGUAAAGCUCUGUUGUUAGGGAAGAAUGGAUAUGUAGUAACUAUACAUGUAAGAGACGGUACCUAACCAGAAAGCCACGGCUAACUACGU